rnacentral:misc_RNA from 1 species
UUAAGUCAGCGGGUAUUCCUACCUGAUCCGAGGUCAACAUUUCAGAAGUUGGGUGUUUUACGGACGUGGACGCGCCGCGCUCCCGGUGCGAGUUGUGCAAACUACUGCGCAUGAGAGGCUGCGACGAGACCGCCACUGUAUUUCGGGGCCGGGAUCCCGUCUUAGGGGUUCCCGAUCCCCAACGCCGACCCCCCGGAGGG